rnacentral:rRNA from 1 species
UACGAAGGGUGCAAACGUUGCUCGGAAUUAUUGGGCGUAAAGCGCACGUAGGCGGCUUUGUAAGUCGGAUGUGAAAUCCCUCGGCUUAACCAAGGAAGUGCAUCCGAAACUACAGAGCUUGAGUACUUAAGAGGAUCGCGGAAUUCCCGGUGUAGAGGUGAAAUUCGUAGAUAUCGGGGAGGAACACCAGUGGCGAAGGCGGCUCUCUGGGCAGAUACUGACGCUGAGACGCGAAAGCAUGGGGAGCAAACAGG